CCUACGGGAGGCAGCAGUGGGGAAUAUUGGACAAUGGGCGAAAGCCUGAUCCAGCCAUGCCGCGUGUGUGAAGAAGGCCUUCGGGUUGUAAAGCACUUUCAGUGGGGAAGAAAGCCUUGGGGCUAAUACCCUCGAGGAAGGACAUCACCCACAGAAGAAGCACCGGCUAACUCCGUGCCAGCAGCCGCGGUAAUACGGAGGGUGCGAGCGUUAAUCGGAAUUACUGGGCGUAAAGCGCGCGUAGGCGGUCUGAUAAGCCGGUUGUGAAAGCCCCGGGCUCAACCUGGGAACGGCGUCCGGAACUGUCAGGCUAGAGUGCAGGAGAGGAAGGUAGAAUUCCCGGUGUAGCGGUGAAAUGCGUAGAGAUCGGGAGGAAUACCAGUGGCGAAGGCGGCCUUCUGGACUGACACUGACGCUGAGGUGCGAAAGCGUGGGUAGCAAACAGGAUUAGAUACCCGAGUAGUC
rnacentral:rRNA from 1 species